rnacentral:lncRNA from 1 species
UCAUACGCCUUCUCCAGGUCAAUAAGCACCAUGUGAAGAUCUUUCCUCUUAUCCCUGAAUUGUUCUUUAAGUAACGGAUAUAAUUUACUCAUUGCAAUAUACUUUCACCAACUGAUUUUUUCUAUUCGUGUACGAACAUAUUAAGCUAAGGCUCUAUACAAUAUGAGCUUCUUCUACUAAAAGUAACCUUCAUUCCAAUGAUCAACUAUCCCCUGCAUAAUAGGAAUCUGUUCCAUUUUUUUGUACACUAUAAAGACUGUGAAAAGAGGAUGCUUGGUAGAUUUAGAUUGUCUGACCAG